UACGUAGGGUGCGAGCGUUGUCCGGAAUUAUUGGGCGUAAAGAGCUCGUAGGCGGUCUGUCGCGUCUGCUGUGAAAACCCGAGGCUCAACCUCGGGCCUGCAGUGGGUACGGGCAGACUAGAGUGCGGUAGGGGAGAAUGGAAUUCCUGGUGUAGCGGUGGAAUGCGCAGAUAUCAGGAGGAACACCGAUGGCGAAGGCAGUUCUCUGGGACGUGACUGACGCUGAGACGCGAAAGCGUGGGGAGCAAACAGG
rnacentral:rRNA from 1 species